UACGGAGGGUGCUAGCGUUGUUCGGAAUUACUGGGCGUAAAGCGCACGUAGGCGGCUUUGUAAGUUAGAGGUGAAAGCCUGGAGCUCAACUCCAGAACUGCCUUUAAAACUGCAUCGCUCGAGUGCAGGAGAGGUGAGUGGAAUUCCGGGUGUAGAGGUGAAAUGCGUAGAUAUUCGGAAGAACACCAGUGGCGAAGGCGGCUCACUGGACUGGUAUUGACGCUGAGGUGCGAAAGCGUGGGGAGCAAACAGG
rnacentral:rRNA from 1 species